rnacentral:rRNA from 1 species
AACGAACGCUGGCGGCAGGCUUAACACAUGCAAGUCGAACGCCCCGCAAGGGGAGUGGCAGACGGGUGAGUAACGCGUGGGAAUCUACCUAGAACUACGGAACAACUGAGGGAAACUUCAGCUAAUACCGUAUACGCCCUACGGGGGAAAGAUUUAUCGGUUGUAGAUGAGCCCGCGUAAGAUUAGCUAGUUGGUGGGGGAAUGGCCUACCAAGGCGACGAUCUUUAGCUGGUCUGAGAGGAUGAUCAGCCACACUGGGACUGAGACACGGCCCAGACUCCUACGGGAGGCAGCAGUGGGGAAUAUUGGACAAUGGGCGCAAGCCUGAUCCAGCCAUGCCGCGUGAGUGAUGAAGGCCUUAGGGUUGUAAAGCUCUUUCAGUGGGGAAGAUAAUGACGGUACCCACAGAAGAAGCACCGGCUAACUUCGUGCCAGCAGCCGCCGCGGUAA